CAACAGGGAUUGCCCUAGUAACGGCGAGUGAAGCGGCAACAGCUCAAAUUUGAAAUCUGGCUUCGGCCCGAGUUGUAAUUUGCAGAGGAUGUUUCUGGCGCGGUGCCUUCCGAGUUCCCUGGAACGGGACGCCAUAGAGGGUGAGAGCCCCGUAUGGUUGGAUACCAAGCCUGUGUGAAACUCCUUCGACGAGUCGAGUAGUUUGGGAAUGCUGCUCAAAAUGGGAGGUAAAUCUCUUCUAAAGCUAAAUAUUGGCCAGAGACCGAUAGCGCACAAGUAGAGUGAUCGAAAGAUGAAAAGCACCUUGAAAAGGGGGUUAAACAGUACGUGAAAUUGUUGAAAGGGAAGCGCUCAUGACCAGACUUGUGCUGGGCAGCUCAUCCGGGGUUCUCCCCGGUGCAUUCUGCCCAGUUCAGGCCAGCAUCGAUUUUUGCUGGGGGAUAAGAACGGUAGGAACGUGGCCCUCCUUCGGGAGGGUGUUAUAGCCUACCGUACGAUACCCUAGCGGAGAUCGAGGUUCGCGCAUCUGCAAGGAUGCUGGCGUAAUGGUCAUCAGCGACCCGUCUUGAAACACGGACCAAGGAGUCGUCCAUUAGAGCGAGCGUUUGGGUGUAAAACCCGCACGCGUAAUGAAAGUGAAAUUAGGUGAGAGCUUCGGCGCAUCAUCGACCGAUCCUGAUGUUCUCGGAUGGAUUUGAGUAAGAGUUUUAACGGACGGACCCGAAAGACAGUGAACUAUGCUUGUAUAGGGUGAAGCCAGAGGAAACUCUGGUGGAGGCUCGCAGCGGUUCUGACGUGCAAAUCGAUCGUCAAAUAUGAGCAUGGGGGCGAAAGACUAAUCGAACUGUCUAGUAGCUGGUUACCGCCGA
rnacentral:rRNA from 1 species